AUUAUUGUUUAGAAAAACUAAAUUCCAUCAUUGCGAGACUAAUUUUCGGACUCGAAAUGUUACAAUUGGUGCAUACAUGUCGAAGGCAUGCAUACGUCUGCUACAAGAAAUGUACACUUGCUACGUACAGAAAAGUAUUUUACUAUACUUCAUCACUGAGUUGAGUUUUCUCUUACCCCAUGCCUUGAGAUACUCUUAUUGUUAUGGCAUAAUAUAUUAUUGGAAACUAUUUCUAAGCUCCCAAUAUCUAUUUCUAUCUAUUAUAGGCACAACUUUUAGUGUUCACUUUAAUGUUAACCAUUACGUUGGAUAAAUUAUCAUUAAUCAUGUUCUUUAUCACUUCACGCAUGUAAAGACGUGCUUAUAUUUAUUAUGAUGGAAGAG
rnacentral:lncRNA from 1 species